GUAGCAUGCCUGUGGUCCCCCCUACUCAGGAGACUGAGGUGAGGGAUUGCUUGGUCCUAGAAGUUCUGGGCUAUGGUGCGCUAUGCGGAUCAGGUGGCUGCACUAAGUUCAGCACCAACAUGGUGACCUCCCAGGAGCAGAAGACCAUCAGGCUGCCUAAGGCCAGGUAAACCACCCUAAGUCACAAAUGCAGCAGGUCAAAACUCCCGUGCUAAUCAGUGGUGGAAUCAUGCGUCUGAAUAGUCUCUGUACUUCAGCCUGGGCAACACAGCAAGACCCUAUCUCC
rnacentral:SRP_RNA from 10 species